rnacentral:tRNA from 1 species
GGCAGGGUGGCUGAGUCUGGCAAAGCGCUGGACUUAUGAUCCAGAAGCAUUACCGCAUGCUACGCGGGUUCAAAUGCUGACGCGGGAAAUCCCGUCCCUGCCG